UAAUACGAACUGUGCGAACGUUAUUCGGAAUCACUGGGCUUAAAGGGUGCGUAGGCGGCUUGUUAAGUAGGGUGUGAAAGCCCCCGGCUCAACCGGGGAAUAGCGCCCUAAACUGGCGAGCUGGAGUGAGACAGGGGUGUGUGGAACUUCCAGUGGAGCGGUGAAAUGUGUUGAUAUUGGAAGGAACACCGGUGGCGAAAGCGACACACUGGGUCUCAACUGACGCUGAGGCACGAAAGCCAGGGGAGCAAACGGG
rnacentral:rRNA from 1 species